GAAAUGCGAUAAGUAAUGUGAAUUGCAGAAUUCAGUGAAUCAUCAAAUCUUUGAACGCACAUUGCGCCCGCCAGUAUUCUGGCGGGCAUGCCUGUUCGAGCGUCAUUUCAACCAUCAAGCCCCCGGCUUGUGUUGGGGACCUGCGGCUGCCCGCAGGCCCUGAAAAACAGUGGCGGGCUCGCUGUCACACCGAGCGUAGUAGCAUACAUUCUCGCUCAGGGCGUGCUGCGGGUUCCGGCCGUUAAACGACCUUCAUAACCCAAGGUUGACCUCGGAUCAGGUAGGAAGACCCGCUGAACUUAAGC
rnacentral:misc_RNA from 1 species